rnacentral:rRNA from 1 species
GACGAACGCUGGCGGCGUGCUUAACACAUGCAAGUCGAACGGAAAGGCCCUGCUUUUGUGGGGUGCUCGAGUGGCGAACGGGUGAGUAACACGUGAGUAACCUGCCCUUGACUUUGGGAUAACUUCAGGAAACUGGGGCUAAUACCGGAUAGGAGCUCCUGCUGCAUGGUGGGGGUUGGAAAGUUUCGGCGGUUGGGGCUGGACUCGCGGCUUAUCAGCUUGUUGGUGGGGUAGUGGCUUACCAAGGCUUUGACGGGUAGCCGGCCUGAGAGGGUGACCGGCCACAUUGGGACUGAGAGACGGCGCAGACGCCUACGGGAGGCAGCAGUGGGGAAUAUUGCACAACGGGCGGAAGCCUGAUGCGACAGCGCCGCGUGCGGGAUGACGGCCUUCGGGUUGUAAACCGCUUUCGCCUGUGACGAAGCGUGAGUGACGGUAAUGGGUAAAGAAGCACCGGCUAACUACGUG